GGGGGAUUGGGGGGGUAGGAGGUGCGGGGAGGGCUUGGAGGGGGGCCACCUUCUGCAGUUGUCACCGCGUCAACUCUUGGCAGCUGUCAGAGCACCCCUCCCCCUCUUCCAGGCAACUUCUUCCAACAGCCCCCUCUGAUGGACCCCAACUCUCCUCUCUCACGCCUCGCCCAUACAGCGAGGCACAAAGAAAUCUCAGUCUCUCCAUAAACUUUGUGCUUCCAGUUAUGCCGCCCCCUCCCCUAGCCUACACCCCCACCCUGCCAGCUUCUUGGCAGGAAGGUUAGGCCACUGGCAAAAUCCUCAGCGAGAGCCAGCUGAUCACAAAUGCCAACUGUGUGUCUUGGGGCCAGUUAAGUCCUCUCAUCUGCCCCAGCUCUCAGGAGACCAUUUCAUUGCUCUCAAGGUUCCCAGGAGACCGCUGCGGACACGGACCAUCCUCUACUUGGCCCGCAAGGAUGGGUUGCUGAGCGGAAUCCCAAAAGCGCUCUUUCUCACCUCGAAUUUUCAUUUUUAGAUUGUAAAAAAUCCGAAUUUGGAGACAGGCAGAUAUUUUUCACACAUCAAAAAGCAGGACCAUCAGCUAGGUGAUUAGCCCCAGGUGGGAAAUGAGCCAUCUCUAAUGAGAAUACUGACUUUUUGAAGAAGUCUGUGGAAGUUCUGAAGUCCUACCCCAGCCCCAUGACCUUUCGUUCGUUUAGUUCUUCUGCCACAGGGAAGCAGCCAGCGACUAAUGAAAGAUUUGAUCUUGCAAUAAUUUCCCAAGCAGAUGUGGGUAAGGAGAGUAAUGACAAGGAGGAGGUUCCAAGAGGUCAUAGCCUGGGGCUACAGAGAAGAAAUGACAAGGUAAUUCUUCCCAGAUAGUAGAAAUAAGGCCUAGUACAGCAACUUUUUCCUCCCUACCCUACCUUCACCUCAGGUGUGAGACUUUCACAGCAUCUGUGCAAUGGUAUUUCACAAUUACAUUGACUGCUAUGUAUCUCCUGUUCUUCCCCUUCUCGAUUCAGAAUAUUUAUUGUAGACAUCCUGUGUUUGGAGGUGAGGUGGGGGGGCAGAUAACUUGUCUUUUUGGUUCGCAGAUCUCUUGCCCAUGAGGAGCCACAUAUGAACCUGAAGGACAGGACAGUGAUCCUGGUCCUGAGAUGGAUGCAGUGAAUGGAGGCAUAUCAGAUUACUAUCUUUGGAGAGGAGGUUGAUG